UUGAAUAAUCGUGAUAGGCUGUUGCUGGCUCUUCCCCCCUACAAAGGGGGAGGGGUAAUGUGCACGCUUGUCAUCUUUAUUUUUCCACCUGUGCACUUUUUGUAGGCCUUUCAGGUCUAUGUUGCUUCAUUUACUCCAAUGUAUGUCAAUAGAAUGUUGUGCCUAUAUAAUAUAUA
rnacentral:misc_RNA from 1 species